CCUACGGGUGGCAGCAGUGGGGAAUAUUGGACAAUGGGCGAAAGCCUGAUCCAGCCAUGCCGCGUGUGUGAAGAAGGCCUUCGGGUUGUAAAGCACUUUCAGUGGGGAAGAAAGCCUUGGGGCUAAUACCCUCGAGGAAGGACAUCACCCACAGAAGAAGCACCGGCUAACUCCGUGCCAGCAGCCGCGGUAAUACGGAGGGUGCGAGCGUUAAUCGGAAUUACUGGGCGUAAAGCGCGCGUAGGCGGUCUGAUAAGCCGGUUGUGAAAGCCCCGGGCUCAACCUGGGAACGGCAUCCGGAACUGUCAGUCUAGAGGGCAGGAGAGGAAGGUAGAAUUCCCGGUGUAGCGGUGAAAUGCGUAGAGAUCGGGAGGAAUACCAGUGGCGAAGGCGGCCUUCUGGACUGACACUGACGCUGAGGUGCGAAAGCGUGGGUAGCAAACAGGAUUAGAUACCCCAGUAGUC
rnacentral:rRNA from 1 species